rnacentral:rRNA from 1 species
UACGUAGGUGGAAAGCGUUGUCCGGAUUUAUUGGGUUUAAAGGGUGCGUAGGCGGUUUUGUAAGUCAGUGGUGAAAUAUGUCAGCUUAACUGAGAGGGUGCCAUUGAUACUGCAGAACUUGAGUACAGAUGAGGUAGGCGGAAUUGACGGUGUAGCGGUGAAAUGCUUAGAUAUCGUCAAGAACCCCUAUAGCGAAGGCAGCUUACUAGGCUGUAACUGACGCUGAGUCACGAAAGUGUGGGGAUCAAACAGG